rnacentral:lncRNA from 1 species
CUUCUGUCUCCUUACCAGUUUCUAAGAACUGUUAGAAACGCCCAUUAUUUACCAGUGUUACUUACUACUUAUAUAUACUUUUUGGAGAAUCAGUUUUCUUAUAAGUAAUCUUAUUUCUCCAAAGGGUGAAAAAGAGAUGAACAUAUCAGAUAAAGGUAUAGGUGGGCUAUUCCAGCCACUUUUGAAGGACACUGAGGGUAUAAAAUGUAAGCUACCAUAAGAUGGAAAAGCACCAGGAAUUUGUUGAUGUACUUUUGAAUUUUAUUUCACAGCCUUGGGAGGAAGAAACUAUGAGUGGUCUCAGAUGUCUAUGAAUGGUCUUAAAAUGUUUUCAAACCAUGUUCCACAUAGAUGCCAUGUUAUUCAAUGUCAGCUUGUUUAUUAGUAAGGAGCUUUAUCCUCCUAGCCUUAUAUUACCAGCCCCCCACAGCCUUGCAUAGAAAGUUUCUGUUAUCUCCUUAGAAGAAACUGGCUCAAUGACGUUUCUGGUGUAGUGCAGAUAGAGGUCAAGAGGAGCAUUUUCAUCUCUUCUUUUGCUGGUCAGAGAAACGGUUCUGAGAUCACAGAAGCUAUGAUGCAUACCUACAGCUUACAAAAGGGAGAGGAAAAAUGUUUAUAUCAUCUAGUAAACAGUUGUAAAAUGAGCUUUUAAAUCUAAUCUAUAGACAUAUUAUUCAUUGCUCAGACACCUGUGAACAGUCUUGAUACAUGCAAGAUGUUUGCCAAACUUUGUAAUCCUUUCUACUAGCUAUAAGAGAGGAUUUAAGAACUGGUGUAGGACUUGUUGCCAUCACCACCAG